rnacentral:rRNA from 1 species
UGCUUGCACAUGCAAGUCGAACGGGCUCUUCGGAGCUAGUGGCGGACGGGUGAGUAACGCGUGAGAAUCUGCCCUUAGGACGGGGACAACAGCUGGAAACGGCUGCUAAUACCCGAUGUGCCGAGAGGUGAAACAUUUUAUGGCCUGAGGAUGAGCUCGCGUCUGAUUAGCUAGUUGGUGGGGUAAGAGCCUACCAAGGCGACGAUCAGUAGCUGGUCUGAGAGGAUGAUCAGCCACACUGGGACUGAGACACGGCCCAGACUCCUACGGGAGGCAGCAGUGGGGAAUUUUCCGCAAUGGGCGCAAGCCUGACGGAGCAGGACCGCGUGCGGGAGGACAGCCUAUUGGUUGUAAACCGCUUUUGAUAGGGAAGAAGCUCUGACGGUACCUAUCGAAUCAGCAUCGGCUAACUCCGUGCCAGCAGCCGCGGUAAUACGGAGGAUGCAAGCGUUAUCCGGAAUUAUUGGGCGUAAAGCGUCCGUAGGUGGUUGUUCAAGUCUGCUGUUAAAGCGUGCGGCUUAACCGCAUAUCAGCAGUGGAAACUGGACGACUAGAGUGCGGUAGGGGUCAGGGGAAUUCCCAGUGUAGCGGUGAAAUGCGUAGAUAUUGGGAAGAACACCGGUGGCGAAAGCGCCUGACUGGACCUGCAUUGACACUGAGGGACGAAAGCUAGGGGAGCGAAAGGGAUUAGAUACCCCUGUAGUCCUAGCCGUAAACGAUGGACACUAGGUGUUGCCCGUAUCGACCCGGGCAGUGUCGUAGCCAACGCGUUUAAGUGUCCCGCCUGGGGAGUACGCUCGCAAGAGUGAAACUCAA